rnacentral:rRNA from 1 species
UGAGGAAUAUUGGUCAAUGGACGAGAGUCUGAACCAGCCAAGUAGCGUGCAGGAUGACGGCCCUAUGGGUUGUAAACUGCUUUUGUAUGGGGAUAAAGUCAAUCACGUGUGAUUGUUUGCAGGUACCAUACGAAUAAGGACCGGCUAAUUCCGUGCCAGCAGCCGCGGUAAUACGGAAGGUCCGGGCGUUAUCCGGAUUUAUUGGGUUUAAAGGGAGCGUAGGCUGGAGAUUAAGUGUGUUGUGAAAUGUAGACGCUCAACGUCUGACUUGCAGCGCAUACUGGUUUCCUUGAGUACGCACAACGUUGGCGGAAUUCGUCGUGUAGCGGUGAAAUGCUUAGAUAUGACGAAGAACUCCGAUUGCGAAGGCAGCUGACGGGAGCGCAACUGACGCUGAAGCUCGAAGGUGCGGGUAUCGAACAGGAUUAGAUACCCUGGUAGUCCGCACAGUAAACGAUGGAUGCCCGCUGUUGGUACGUGGUAUCAGCGGCUAAGCGAAAGCAUUAAGCAUCCCACCUGGGGAGUACGCCGGCAACGGU